rnacentral:tRNA from 1 species
UAGGAUAAAGUGUACAGGUAGAAUGAAGAUAUUUGAAUUCUCAGGUAUAGGUUCCAUUCCUGUUGUCCUAG